GGAACUUAAACUAUUCGCAUAGAGAGACAAUAUAUAUAAAUAACUAUAGAGUAAUUUGCAUCUAGAGGUUUAGCAACCUAACAAAGUGAGUAAGAGAGAUGACAAAGAAGGGUCCUUUGAAUUUGAGACUUUUGCUCUUGCUUCUAGUGGUUCUUUUGCCCUCAUGCUCUAAUUGUGCUCUUACGUCUUCACAAGAAUUACGCCCAUCAUCAGAAUGGAGAAGAAAGAUGAUAACAGUAUGGUCGAAGAGCUCGUAUUAGGAGUGCUCCUCCAUUGCCGUCCUUUUACCCACCACCGUCAGCAGUUUACAUGAAACGACACAUAUAGAUACCAAAAAAGAAUGUCAAGAAUAUGCUUAAGUGUUACAGAUACUCGUUGUAAGAAGGAAAAAAGUGUUACAGAUAUUCUGAAGCAUUUAGGAGGUCUGAAAAAAAUGCAGCUGGCUUAACUUAGCGUACCAAGAACUCCGUUUGAUUCCAGUUAAGGUACAAGAUCCUCUAGGAAGCUAACAAGUAUCCCUCUCUCACUUGUUACAUGUGUACUGCCUCACGUGUGUGAUUGUUAGAGGAUAAGCCAUUUGUAGAUCCUUGAAAAGCUCCAUCGCUUCUCCUUUCAUUUGUACGUACGCAUCUUUUAAAUAAAAAGGAAAGUUUAGUUUAUUGAUUCAAGUUUCUCCUUUUUUCUCUUGGAAUAACUUAGUGUUGUACAGAUUCCCUUCACUAGUAUUCUGUUAAAUCCCUUCACUAAUAUUCUGUUAAAUCUAUUUUUUUGUGCUGAUCUCCUGAGGCAAAGUUUGUGAACUUAUCAUAAAGGUUUUCACACCCUUGAAUGUUAUUCCUUGAUUAACCUACUACCUUUCAUC
rnacentral:misc_RNA from 1 species